UCCCUGGUGACUCAGUGGUAAAGAAUCUGCCUUCCAAUGCAGGAGACUCAGGCUCAACCCCUGGUCUGGGAA
rnacentral:tRNA from 1 species